ACUACCAAAGUAAACAUUUUUUUCCUCAUUUCUGACAGCCCACAUGCAGUCACACACAAACUAUCAUCUCCAGGAUGUCCGUCGAUGGCAGCGAGAUGAGCCCUAAAACUCACAUUAACGGCAGAGCAUGUCCUCCAGAGUUACCCUGGAUCCUUUGGCUGCUUCUUUGUAUAAUGCUCUCCUUGUGUCACGCCUGUCAGUUAAAAUCAACGGCCAAGUUUUGAAAAGACUGGAAGACGUCAUCAAGGAAGGGUGAAAGGGAGGAGAAGGAAGGGUGGACCAGGGGUCG